GGAACUGUGCCCGAAUGCCUAGGGACCACUUUGAUAGAGUGGCUAUAGGGGCUAAAAUCCCCUCAGUUCUU
rnacentral:tRNA from 1 species